rnacentral:rRNA from 1 species
UUAACACAUGCAAGUCGAGUGCGCGCUUGUAGCAAUACAAGUGGCGCACGGCGCACGGGUGCGUAACACGUGGGUAACCUGCCCUUUGGUGGGGAAUAACCUCGCGAAAGCGAGGCUAAUUCCGCAUAAGAUCCGCAAGGAUGAAAGCCGCAAGGCGCCGAAGGAGGGGCCCGCGCACGAUUAGUUAGUUGGUAGGGUAACGGCCUACCCAAGACUAUGAUCGUCAGCUGGUCUGAGAGGAUGGCCAGCCACACUGGAACUGAGACACGGUCCAGACUCCUACGGGAGGCAGCAGUGGGGAAUCUUGCGCCAAUGGGCGAAAGCCUGACGCAGCGACGCCGCGUGGGGGAUGAAGCUUCUCGGAGUGUUAAACCCCUUUCGACUGGGACGAAUACCUC